rnacentral:rRNA from 1 species
UGAGGAAUAUUGGUCAAUGGGCGAGAGCCUGAACCAGCCAAGUAGCGUGCAGGAUGACGGCCCUAUGGGUUGUAAACUGCUUUUAUGUGGGGAUAAAGUGCGUGACGUGUCAUGCAUUGCAGGUACCACAUGAAUAAGGACCGGCUAAUUCCGUGCCAGCAGCCGCGGUAAUACGGAAGGUCCGGGCGUUAUCCGGAUUUAUUGGGUUUAAAGGGAGCGUAGGCUGUCUAUUAAGCGUGUUGUGAAAUUUACCGGCUCAACCGGUGGCUUGCAGCGCGAACUGGUCGACUUGAGUAUGCAGGAAGUAGGCGGAAUUCAUGGUGUAGCGGUUAAAUGCUUAGAUAUCAUGAAGAACUCCGAUUGCGAAGGCAGCUUACGGGAGCGCAACUGACGCUAAAGCUCGAAGGUGCGGGUAUCGAACAGG